rnacentral:misc_RNA from 1 species
GAUGAAGAACGCAGCGAAAUGCGAUAAGUAAUGCGAAUUGCAGAAUUUCCGUGAGUCAUCGAAUCUUUGAACGCACAUUGCGCCCACUGGUAUUCCGGUGGGCAUGCCUGUUCGAGCGUCAUUUCAACCCUCAAGCCCCCGGGCUUGGUGUUGGGGAUCGGCGAGCCUCCGCGCCCGCCGUCCCCUAAAUCUAGUGGCGGUCUCGCUGUAGCUUCCUCUGCGUAGUAGCACACCUCGCACUGGGAAACAGCGCGGCCACGCCGUUAAACCCCCAACUUCUGAACGUUUGACCUCGGAUCAGGUAGGAAUACCCGCUGAACUUAAGCAUAUCAAUAAGCGGAGGA